UGCAGAGGAUGUAAAUGACAGUCUAGUCCUAGGAGAUGAUGAGGACUCCCCAUCCACCAAGAUCGCUGAUGCA